AUGGAGACGACUUCCGAUACCCCACGCUCCGUCGUCCGAGCAGACGGCCACGGCGGCGGCGGCGGCCAUGUUCUCCUCCUCGCCUUCCCGGCGGCGCAGGGCCACCUCAACCCCAUGCUGCAGCUCGGCCGUCGCCUCGCCUACCACGGCCUCCGCCCCACGCUAGUCACCACGCGCCACCUCCUCGCCACCGUCCCGCCCCCUUUGCCCCCCUUCCGCGUCGCCGCCAUCUCCGACGGUUUCGAUGAAGGCGGCAUGGCUGCGUGCCCGGACUUCCGGGAGUACGGGCGCCGGCUGGCGGCCGCGGGGUCCGAGACCCUGGAGGCGCUCUUCCGGUCCGAGGCCGCGGAGGGGAGACCCGUGAGCGUGCUCGUGUACGACCCGCACCUACCCUGGGCAGGCCGUGUGGCGCGCGCCGCCGGCGUGCCGACGGCCGCGCUCUUCUCGCAGCCCUGCUCGGUGGACGUCGUCUACGGGGAGGUCUACGCGGGCCGCGUCGGCCUGCCGGUCGUGGACGGGAGCGCGCUACGUGGGUUGCUGAGCGUCGAGCUGGGGCCGGAGGACGUGCCGUCGUUCGUGGCGGCGCCGGAGUCCUACCCUCUGUUCCUGGACGCGGUGGUGGGGCAGUUCGAUGGGUUGGAGGACGCCGACGACGUGCUCGUCAACUCGUUCCAUGAGCUCGAGCCCAAGGAAGCUGACUACUUGGCAUCAACAUGGCGCGUGAAGACCAUUGGCCCGACACUGCCGUCGUUCUACCUGGACGACAAUCGGUUGCCGUCCAAUAAGACUUAUGGGUUUGACCUCCUCGACAACACAGCACCGUGCAUGGCAUGGCUGGACAGCCAGCCCCCUUCCUCAGUCGUAUAUGCCUCCUAUGGGACUGUCGCUGACCUCGACCAAGCCCAAUUAGAGGAGAUAGGCAAUGGAUUGUGCGAUUCCGGCAAACAAUUCCUCUGGGUUGUCAGGUCCGUUGAUGAACACAAGUUGUCUGAACAGCUCCGUGACAAGUGCAAGGAAAAGGGGCUAAUUGUUUCGUGGUGCCCCCAGCUUGAAGUCUUAUCUCACAAGGCCACAGGUUGUUUCUUAACUCACUGUGGAUGGAACUCGACAACAGAAGCAAUUGUUACAGGCGUACCACUUUUGGCAAUGCCUCAGUGGACAGAUCAACCAACUACAGCAAGGUACAUUGAGAGUGCAUGGGGGAUUGGUGUGCGUGUGCAUCGUGAUAAAGAAGGUAUAGUGCGGAAGGAAGAGGUAGAGAGGUGCAUUAGAGAAGUCUUAGACGGUGAGAGGAAGCAGGAGUACAUGAAGAAUUCUGCUAUGUGGACGAGAAAGGCUAAGGAAGCAAUGCAGGAAGGAGGAAGCUCGGACAAGAAUAUUGCUGAGUUUGUGGCCAAGUAUUCUCCAACUACUAGUUGA
rnacentral:rRNA from 1 species